rnacentral:rRNA from 1 species
UAUCUAGUUGGUGAGGUAACGGCUCACCAAGGCGACGAUACAUAGCCGACCUGAGAGGGUGAUCAAAAACACUGGGACUGAGACACGGCCCAAACUCCUACGGGAGGCAGCAGUAGGGAAUCUUCGGCAAUGGGGGCAACCCUGACCGAGCAACGCCGCGUGAGUGAAGAAGGUUUUCGGAUCGUAAAGCUCUGUUGUAAGAGAAGAACGUGUGUGAGAGUGGAAAGUUCACACAGUGACGGUAACUUACCAGAAAGGGACGGCUAACUACGUGCCAGCAGCCGCGGUAAUACGUAGGUCCCGAGCGUUGUCCGGAUUUAUUGGGCGUAAAAGCGAGCGCAGGCGGUUUAAUAAGUCUGAAAGUUAAAGGCAGUGGCUUAACCAUUUGUUCGCUUUUGAAAACUGUUAGACUUGAGUG